GUCGUCGCGUUGUCGGAUAUCAAAACAGAAGGUAAACCCCGUCGGCUCACGAAACGUUGAAAACUCAGCAGGAAUGCUUGAGUACUAAGAGCUCGAGUCAAUUCAAGGUGUACUGCCCGAGUUGCGGCACAUGUACAUAAACAGACAUAAACCUUGGAGGAUGAAGUCCCUUUCGUUGCGUUCUUUUCGGUAAUAUACAACGGAUCCAAAAAAUCUAAUCCAGUGUUCGCGAAUGGUGGAGCGUCAUCGACUCUGAUUUUGGGUAAAUCUGGCGUUGGUUGUGGACUGAACGGUCUUGCCUGGUGCCUACGACAUACUACGCAUUCUCUUAGAAUUCGUUUCAC